AAUAGAUACCCGGGUAGUCCACGCCGUAAACUAUGGAUGCUAGCUGUGGGGGGUAUCGACCCCUUCCGUAGCGAAGCUAACGCGUUAAGCAUCCCGCCUGUGGAGUACGGCCGCAAGGCUAAAACAUAAAGGAAUUGACGGGGACCCGCACAAGCGGUGGAGCGUGUUGUUUAAUUCGAUGGUAAGCGAAAAACCUUACCCAGGCUUGACAUCCCGAGAAUUACUCCGAAAGGAGUGAGUGCUUUAUUGAACUCGGUGACAGGUGUUGCAUGGCCGUCGUCAGCUCGUGUCGUGAGAUGUUUGGUUAAGUCCAUCAACGAGCGCAACCCUUAUGAAUAGUUGUAUUUUUCUAUUCAGACUGCCCCGGUCAACGGGGAGGAAGGAGGGGAUGAGGUCAGGUCAUUAUUACCCUUACGUCUGGGGCUACAAACGCGCUACAAUGGCCGGUACAAUGUGCAGCUAAGCAGCAAUGCGGAGCAAAUCACAUCAAAAGCCGGUCUCAGUUCGGAUUGCAGGCUGAAACUCGCCUGCA
rnacentral:rRNA from 1 species